GACGAACCGAGCGAACGUUGUUCGGAAUCACUGGGCUUAAAGGGCGCGUAGGCGGGCUGCCGCGUCCGGGGUGAAAUCCUCCGGCUCAACCGGGGAACGGCCUCGGAUACGGGCGGCCUCGAGGGGGGUAGGGGCAUCUGGAACUGUGGGUGGAGCGGUGAAAUGCGUUGAUAUCUACAGGAACUCCGGUGGCGAAGGCGAGGUGCUGGACCCCUUCUGACGCUGAGGCGCGAAAGCCAGGGGAGCAAACGGG
rnacentral:rRNA from 1 species